AAAAAAAGCAGCAACAGCAGAUGGAGUCUCAGACAACAAUGAAAAGCCUCAAAUCAAUAACAGAUGUAUAGAGCAGAUUAUAUAUUAUCCAUUUUAAAAUCACUGCUUCAGAAAUUAGGCAAAUGAUACAGAAGUGUGAGGUUUCUUCAUGGUAUGAACAAUUUCAGAAAUCAGCAUCAACACUAACUCUAGAAGGAAAAGCUGAGUUGGACCUCAGAUGAUGAAAAAGCAGCCCCUUAGGUAAAUUCAUCCUGGGACAAACCCACGGCUCCUUCACUCAUGAAAAAACUGAAGAUUACAGAGGACAGAAAGCAAUAUUCCAUCUUUAUGUGAAAAAAUCCAUCAGGCUAAAACACACAGAUGCACAAAAUGACACAGGCAUGGUUUCAGCAUCCAAACAAGCAAAGCUGUAUUUUGAGAUAUUGGGAAUGGACAAGGACAAUCAGCUGCUCCCAA